rnacentral:rRNA from 1 species
GCAUAUCAAUAAGCGGAGGAAAAGAAACCAACAGGGAUUGCCCUAGUAACGGCGAGUGAAGCGGCAACAGCUCAAAUUUGAAAUCUGGCUUCGGCCCGAGUUGUAAUUUGCAGAGGAAGCUUUAGGCGCGGCACCUUCUGAGUCCCCUGGAACGGGGCGCCAUAGAGGGUGAGAGCCCCGUAUAGUUGGAUGCCUAGCCUGUGUAAAGCUCCUUCGACGAGUCGAGUAGUUUGGGAAUGCUGCUCAAAAUGGGAGGUAAAUUUCUUCUAAAGCUAAAUACCGGCCAGAGACCGAUAGCGCACAAGUAGAGUGAUCGAAAGAUGAAAAGCACUUUGAAAAGAGGGUUAAAUAGCACGUGAAAUUGUUGAAAGGGAAGCGCUUGUGACCAGACUUGCGCCGGGCUGAUCAUCCGGUGUUCUCACCGGUGCACUCUGCCCGGCUCAGGCCAGCAUCGGUUCUCGCGGGGGGAUAAAGGCCCAGGGAAUGUAGCUCCUCCGGGAGUGUUAUAGCCCGGGGCGGAAUGCCCUCGCGGGGACCGAGGUUCGCGCAUCUGCAAGGAUGCUGGCGUAAUGGUCAUCAGCGACCCGUCUUGAAACACGGACCAAGGAGUCAAGGUUUUGCGCGAGUGUUUGGGUGUAAAACCCGCACGCGUAAUGAAAGUGAACGUAGGUGAGAGCUUCGGCGCAUCAUCGACCGAUCCUGAUGUUUUCGGAUGGAUUUGAGUAAGAGCGUUAAGCCUUGGACCCGAAAGAUGGUGAACUAUGCUUGGAUAGGGUGAAGCCAGAGGAAACUCUGGUGGAGGCUCGCAGCGGUUCUGACGUGCAAAUCGAUCGUCAAAUCUGAGCAUGGGGCGAAAGACUAUCGACCAUCUAGUAGCUGUACGCGA